UAAACUGGGAUUAGAUACCCCACUAUGCUUAGCCUUAAACUUUAACUCACACCUCCCCACGCCAGGGUACUACGAGCAACGCUUAAAACCCAAAGGACUUGACGGUACCCCACAUCCACCUAGAGGAGCCUGUCCUAUAAUUGAUAACCCCCGCUAAACCUUACCACUAUUAGUCUAUCAGCUUGUAUACUUCCGUCUUCAGCUUACCCCGUGAGCGCAAUUCAGUGAGCUUAAUGCCCCUCCACCAAUACGUCAGGUCAAAGUGCAGCUAAUAUAGUGGGCAGAGAUGGGCUACACUCUCUAACCUAGAGGAUACGAAAGACUAUGCUGAAACCAUACCUAAAGGCGGAUUUAGAAGUAAAAAGAAAAUAAAGAGUUCUUUUUAACCUGGCCCUGGGGUGUGUACACACCGCCCGUCACCCUCA
rnacentral:rRNA from 1 species